CAAACAAUUUAAUUUGCCUGAUGCUUUGAUAUAGAUGAGGAUGCGGCGAGGCGGGCGCGGGGAGAGAUGAAACGCGCUGUCGGAGGCGGGGGGGGCUGAGCCGUGUGAGAUGUGCCGAGCGCCGUGAGAGAUGUGAGGUGUGCCCGUGACAGAUGUGCCCGUGAGAGAUGUGAGAUGUGCCCGUGAGAGAUGUGAGAUGUGCCCGUGAGAGAUGUGAGGUGUGCCCGUGAGAGAUGUGAGGUGUGCCCGUGACAGAUGUGCCCGUGAGAGGUGUGCCCUGCACGGUGUGAGGUGUCCCCACGACAGAUGUUCCCGUGUGAGGUGUCCCUGUGAC